UAUCUCUUUGCAUUUACAUAACAAAAUAUGGUUUAGAAUGAAAAUUACAUUAAUAAUUUUGCAAAAUAUACUCACUAAAGCAAUUUGGGAUCAGUUGGUCGAUGGUUGAAUCACCAAGUAUGAAUAAAUUCACAGUAAGAGUGGAUGUCAAAUCCAAAGAUUUCAUCAUCAUAUCCCAAUGUUGCAAACUGAAAAUUCAAUAUAAUGAAAACAAAAAGAAACCAG
rnacentral:lncRNA from 1 species